UACGAAGGGUGCAAGCGUUACUCGGAAUUACUGGGCGUAAAGCGUGCGUAGGUGGUUUGUUAAGUCUGUUGUGAAAGCCCCGGGCUCAACCUGGGAAUGGCAAUGGAUACUGGCAGGCUAGAGUGCGGUAGAGGGUAGUGGAAUUCCUGGUGUAGCGGUGAAAUGCGCAGAUAUCAGGAAGAACACCCGUGGCGAAGGUGGCUCUCUGGGACGGUACUGACGCUGAGACGCGAAAGCGUGGGGAGCGAACAGG
rnacentral:rRNA from 1 species